GUCAGUCACAAUUUAUUAAAGUACCACAAACAACUAAAGUAAUAAAACAAAGUAUUUUAAAUCAGUUAUUAACUGACAGCAUAUGAUUUCUACAUAUUGACAACACUAUUUAUAUAUGAUGGCAUUACAUGUGACUAUUUUUCCGUGACUUUUUUUCCUGUAACUUUUAUACCUGGAUUCCAGCGACAAGGGUUCCAGUUGAUCCGAUCAACGGAACAACUUGCUCGUGAAAUUAACGUGCAAGCAUCUAAUCUCUCCAUAGACACAGCUACGCUUAACAGAGUUCUCAAGGAAAUUCAGCGUGAUACAGAAUGUGACAAGGCUGGUCCUUUGAAAUACAGGGCAACUCAUUUUUGUCAGCUGAGUGAAAUGGAACAACGAGAAAUAAAUCAUCUUGGUCAAGGACACAACGCACUGCCAGGUAUCGAACUCACAACGUUACGAUUAUGAGCCGAAUACCCUAACCACGAAGACAUGCGCCUUCAACAAGGUACAAUAACUGAGAAAAGCAAAGCUGAAAAUAAUAGCUAUACAAAUCGCAAAUAACGCCUUCAAACGAAUUGUGCCUCCUAAUCCCACAACUACAACAGAUUGAGUUUUAGAAUGAAUGAUUGCAAGAAAGUGGCCAGUUAUCCACAGCACUAUGACUAAGCCUAUCCUACGUACAACACCAAUUAAACACAAUGAGAUGGGGAGAAGAUAUUAAACAGACUGACAGACUGGUAGGCAGACAGCAGGCAGACAGCAGACAGGUUAUAUUAAUCAGCCCUUUCAAAAGUAUGGACAAGAAAAAACUUUCGUAUGAUUUUCCUUUAUGAGUACAAAGAAAGGAAGAAUGUUUCUGAAACUGCGUGAGGCAUCAACCAAGCACUUGGCCAAGGAUCAGUUCCUGUUCACACAGUUUGGCUUUAGAUGUUUCGGCAAGGAGAUAAGUUUUAAUAAUCUCGAUCAUCCAGGAAGGAAACGAUCCUUUGAUGACAACACACUAGCGGAAGCAGUGGAGGAAGAUACUCGAAGACCAGUUUGUAAGCUCGCAAUAAAAGCGUGAACAAGUAAAUCAAGUAUUUCUACUUAUUUGCAUGAAACUGGAAAAAGGAUGGACAGACGGGUUCCGCAUGAACCGACGGAGGACCAGCAAAUUCGCCGUUACGAGAUCUGUUCGACCCUGUUGUUGAGAAAUCACAAUGAUCCAUUUCUUGAAUGUAUCAUAACAUGUAAUGAAAAGUGGAUUUUUUAAGUCAAUAAGAAAAGCUCUUCGCCGAAGCAUUUCUUAAAGCCUGAAUUCCAUCAAAAACUGUGCAUGUGACAGUACAGUAGACUACCUCGGGAUUUAUCCACUACAACUUCCUGAAUUUAGGAGAAACAAUCACAGCUGAGAAAUCUUGUCGGCAGUUAAAUGAAAUGCAUAAUAAGUUGCGCGAAAUGCAACCAGCAUUAGUCAAUCGUAAAAGCCCAAUUCUUUAUGGUAACGCCAGUCUACAUGUGUUAAGAGUGACGUUUAGAAAGUUUAACGAUUUGGAAAUCUAAGUUUUGCCUCAUCCACCUUAUUUUCCUGACCUGUCUACAACAGGCUUACUUGUUUUCAAACACCUUGACAAUUUCAUAGUAAAUAAACUUCCAAAACCAGGCGGCUACAGAUGAAGUUUUUAGGUAGCUUGUUGAAUCUAGAAAUGCUGAUUUCCACUGUAAGAGCAUAAAUGACCUUGUUACUCGUUGGCAAAAAUAUAUUCAAUCACUUGGAAAUUACUUCCAUAAAAUUUGCUGUCUAUCAACUGUUAUAUUUUCAUUUUAAGGUUUGGGCCUUCAAAACAUCAUUACUUUCUGCGCAACCUAAUAAAAGCGUCAAUAGAUCGAUACGGUACCAAUAAUAAUGUAGGUGCAGUAUAGCAGAAUGAUAUAAAAUCCGCUUUACAAUUAUGGAGUCCAUGGUUCGAUUCUACUACGUGGCAUAUGGGCAAAUGUCAUUUACUUUAGCCCCAGGACAGCCCAUACAUGAAUGAAGUUGGCUUGGCAGAAACAGUAUAGAAGUCUGUCGGGUGGAUUGUACUUGUCAUUCAAAGAUUCAGACCUAUAAAACCGUGUCACACUGCUUCCGUCUGAGAAUUGCAUUAAGCUAACUCAUACCUUGAAUACUCAACCACAUGCACGCUACUUCUGACCGAGAUCUGUUAAAAAUAUAUUUGCAGCCAAGGGUGGUGGGAUACACGCGCGCGCACACACACACGUGCUCAACACCGCAUU